GGUUUAUCCCACUGCCUCAUUUAACCCCCAAGGAGGUGGGUCCUGUUAUUACCCUGACCUUACAGAGGAGGAGACUGAGGCACCAGAGCUCAAGUAGCCUACUGAGGUCACACAUGAGCCUACAUGAGCCAUGGAGUGGAGUGACCAACUGGAGGCACGACCAAAUCGGGCAACACACAGCCAGGAUCUUAAAGGGAAGAGAUGACCAGGAGGAGGGAAGACAGGAGGAUGGGAGAGGAGAUUGGUGCCUGAUUGUGUUUGGACACAGUAGGGUUCUUAUGAGCGGAGGAUGGGAGGGGGAAGGUUGAGCAUCCAUCUCUCCCAUCUCCUGUGGCCAGGUCUGUUACAGCAGCCAGCCCUGCACGCCUUCCCCAACAGCCUCGCUGGGGCAGUUCAUGGUUCAAAGCCUACAGCCCUCCAUCUGAGUUACUAGACUCAUAUAUAGGCUGUACCUUCUGCCCAUGGCUGUGGGGAACCAGGACUGCAGAGGAAGCAUGUGAGUGAAGCCACCGGAAGCAAGCAAAUGGAACAAAACCAGCACCACGACCACCACCACCACCACCACCACCAUCACCACCAUCACCACAAUACAAAUACUCUCUUUGAUUGGUCCUCUGGGUAGAUAAAAU
rnacentral:lncRNA from 10 species